AAGCCCAAGUAUGGCGAUCCACAUGUCAAGGCCAACGCCCUGCUGCAGUCCCACUUUGCAAGGCACACGGUGGUAGGGAACCUGGCAGCCGACCAACGGGAGAUCCUCCUUUCUGCCCAUAGGCUGCUCCUGGCGAUGGUUGAUGUUAUCUCCAGCAGCGGAUGGCUCACUCUGGCUCUGAAUGCAAUGGAGCUGAGCCAGAUGGUGACGCAAGGCAUGUGGGAUCGUGACUCUGUGCUGCUCCAACUCCCACACUUCACGAGGGACCUGGCCCGGAGAUGCCAGGAAAAUGAAGCGAAGCCCAUCGAGAGCAUCUUCGAUCUGGCUGAGAUGAGCAUCGAUGAGAUGCGGGACCUGUUGCAGCUGUCAAACUCUGAGCUGCAGGAUGUCGUCGUGUUCUUCAAGCGGUUCCCCAACGUCGACAUGACUUACGAGGUCCGCGAGGGCGACGACAUAAGGGCCGGUGACAACGUGACCUUGCAGGUGACUCUGGAGCGCGACAUGACCAACCUGCCCAACUCCGAGGUCGGCCCGGUUCACGCCCCCAGGUUCCCCAAGACCAAGGAGGAAGGGUGGUGGCUGGUGGUCGGCGACAGCUCCACCAAGCAGCUGCUGGCUAUCAAGAGGGUCACCCUCCAGAAGAGGGCCCGUGUGAAGCUCGAGUUCACCGCCGCCGCGGAGCCAGGGACGAAGGACUACAUGAUCUACCUGAUGUCGGACUCGUACCUCGGCUGCGACCAGGAGUACGAGUUCACCAUCGACAUCAAGGAAGCUGGAGGCGACUAAUUUCAAACACCCAAAACUCUUUUUUAUACUGGGUUUUUGCUCUUAUGUAGACAAUAUUAUGUGACCUGGAACUUAUCAUCUUUUUGUCUGUAAUGUAACACCUGAAGUUUAGCUUUGAUUCAGUGUAACAUGAUGCACACGUACGUUAUUGUGUUUUUGUAUGGCGACGAGGAGGAUCUACACUAGUUGCGGUUUGCACUUAUGCAUCUGUUUCAGCACCUUUCUUUCCCUGAUGAUGGUUUGCUGAUGAGUAUCCAUUGUUCUUGUGAUGUUCUUAUCUGAUGUUUCUUAAUUUUAUUUGUCAGUGAUUGGCAACAAUUACCGCAGUGGUGAUAAUAGGAUUAAGUUCAGUCUGAUUAACAUGUUAUUGUGUUUUUUUGCCAGUGAAUAUAUGAAAUGAUCCAUAAGGCAUUUGUCUCACCAUUACCUUGGUGAUACAAUAUUAGUAGAAUGAUUGUAGAUUGGUUUGGUUAAGUAGAAAUUUUGUGAUUUUUAGAAGUUUAUGCCCCAAUAGUUGUGGUUUUGUGGUGUUCACUCUUCUCCUUG
rnacentral:lncRNA from 1 species